GCCGGCAUAGCUCAGUUGGUAGAGCGGCAGUUUUGUAAACUGCGGGUCGGGGGUUCAAGUCCCUCUGCCGGCUCCA
rnacentral:tRNA from 1 species